ACAGCAGUCGCCGCGGUAAUACGUAGGUCCCGAGCGUUGUCCGGAUUUAUUGGGCGUAAAGCGAGCGCAGGCGGUUAGAUAAGUCUGAAGUUAAAGGCUGUGGCUUAACCAUAGUACGCUUUGGAAACUGUUUAACUUGAGUGCAAGAGGGGAGAGUGGAAUUCCAUGUGUAGCGGUGAAAUGCGUAGAUAUAUGGAGGAACACCGGUGGCGAAAGCGGCUCUCUGGCUUGUAACUGACGCUGAGGCUCGAAAGCGUGGGGAGCAAACAGGAUUAGAUACCCCUGUAGUCCCUGUCUCUUAUACA
rnacentral:rRNA from 1 species